GAAAAAUUUAGUUAAAAUAUAACAUUAGCUUGUCAAGCUAAAAUUACUUAGAGUAAUUUUU
rnacentral:tRNA from 1 species